UGAGCAAAGAGCUAAGCAGCAGCAACAACAACAACAACAACAAGUUCGGUGUUUCUAAGGAGCAAACAGUGACACACUACAUCAUUUCUGCCAGAAACCAUCUACAACCAAGUAUUUCUUACCCAUGAACGGGGAUGCAGGGACUCCCUGUGGAGGCGGAGGAGAGUAAGAGGGUCUGGACUGGAGGAGGGUCAUGUAGGAGGGAAACAAGAGCUCGCAGCGACUGUUCUCACUAAAAAGAACUGACAGGAAGACGCCAGCUGUGCUGCUCUCAUCGAAGG